UACAGAGGGGGCGAGCGUUAUUCGGAAUCAUUGGGCGUAAAGCGCACGUAGGCGGCUUUGUAAGUCAGGUGUGAAAUCCCGGGGCUCAACCUCGGAACUGCCUUUGAUACUGCAAAUCUCGAGUCCGGAAGAGGUGAGUGGAAUUCCUAGUGUAGAGGUGAAAUUCGUAGAUAUUAGGAAGAACACCAGUGGCGAAGGCGGCUCACUGGUACGGUACUGACGCUGAGGUGCGAAAGCGUGGGGAGCAAACAGG
rnacentral:rRNA from 1 species